AGUUACCUGAAAUAUGAGGACUUGUUAUUUUGACCCUACAAUACUUUAAACGGGAAUCCUACAUUGUUAAACGUAAAUCAGGCCAUAUUUGCAACAUCCGAUGGAAGAUUGUAAUUUAAUUGCGGACACCCACCUGGCUUUUAGCUAGGAGUCAAAAUACGAGAUCAUGUUUCGGGUGAUAU
rnacentral:other from 1 species